CCCGACUUGGCUCAUCGUAGUAAUCAAAUCUUCAAGGGUCGAACUCAGAGUUAUUUCAAACCUAAGGUGGAAGGGAAAAGGAAGAGUGUCCAGUUGGACCAGUCUGGUAGCCAGUGACUGAAGACAGGCUGGUGCCCUGCCUGGAAGGUCGGAGCGAGGCACAGGCACGAGGCAGGCCACGUCUCAGCCACAUGCGGAAAGCUUGUUGUGACUUAACCAAAGAGAAAACAGGAGGAAAACACAGUCUGGAGGAGGUGAGAACAAGGCUCACGUGUCAUGUGGACAGAGACUGGAUAUUAGCACAUGGCAAUGGGGAGAUCCCUUUCCGCGCGUGGCUUGGAUACCUGUCACUGGAGUUCACAGGCGCGUGGCCACGUGUCACUUGCACUGCUGAGCACCAGGCCAGGCGUGUGGCUAAAGUCCGCUCAGUAUCGCCCACCUCUCCACCCGGGGCCCCAGCAACACGGGGGACACUGCGAGGCAGUGGGUGGGACCCUCUGAGGGCCCCCUGGCCAGGUGGAGGCAGCCCCUGACCUCCUGCGCUAAGCGAGGCUUCCCAAGGGAAGGGCAGGCCUCUGUCACACCCCGUGGCUGUGCAGUUUAAUAGCGUCGCGGUGGCCUGAUGCUGUCCUGGGUGGGCUCACAGAUGC
rnacentral:lncRNA from 1 species